CCUACGGGCGUCAGCAGUGAGGAAUAUUGGUCAAUGGACGGGAGUCUGAACCAGCCAUGCCGCGUGCAGGAAGACGGCUCUAUGAGUUGUAAACUGCUUUUGUACAAGGGUAAACCUGAAUACGUGUAUUCAGCUGAAAGUACUGUACGAAUAAGGAUCGGCUAACUCCGUGCCAGCAGCCGCGGUAAUACGGAGGAUCCAAGCGUUAUCCGGAUUUAUUGGGUUUAAAGGGUGCGUAGGUGGAUUGAUAAGGUAGAGGUGAAAGUUCCGAGCUUAACUCGGGAAUUGCCUCUAAUACUGGUGACCUAGAGAGUAGAUGCGGUAGGCGGAAUGCAUGGUGUAGCGGUGAAAUGCUUAGAGAUCACACAGAACACCGAUUGCGAAGGCAGCCUACCAAUCUACAUCUGACGUUGAGGCACGAAAGCGUGGGUAGCAAACAGGAUUAGAUACCCUUGUAGUC
rnacentral:rRNA from 1 species